AAUAACAAGGAUUCCCCUAGUAACUGCGAGUGAAGCGGGAAAAGCUCAAAUUUAAAAUCUGAUAGUCUUAGGCUGUCCGAGUUGUAAUCUAGAGAAGUGUUAUCCGCGCUGGACCGUGUACAAGUCUCCUGGAAUGGAGCGUCAUAGAGGGUGAGAAUCCCGUCUUUGACACGGACUACCAGGGCUUUGUGAUGCGCUCUCAAAGAGUCGAGUUGUUUGGGAAUGCAGCUCAAAAUGGGUGGUAAAUUCCAUCUAAAGCUAAAUAUUGGCGAGAGACCGAUAGCGAACAAGUACCGUGAGGGAAAGAUGAAAAGAACUUUGGAAAGAGAGUUAAACAGUACGUGAAAUUGCUGAAAGGGAAACGCUUGAAGUCAGUCGCGUUGGCCAGGGAUCAACCUUGCUCUUGCUGGGUGUACUUUCUGGUUAACGGGUCAACAUCAAUUUUGAUUGUUGGAAAAAGAUCAAGGGAAUGUAGCAUCUUCGGAUGUGUUAUAGCCUUUGGUUGUAUACAACAAUUGGGAUUGAGGAACUCAGCACGCCGAAAGGCCGGGUUUUUAACCACGUUCGUGCUUAGGAUGUUGGCAUAAUGGCUUUAAUCGACCCGUCUUGAAACACGGACCAAGGAGUCUAACAUGCCUGCGAGUGUUUGGGUGGAAAACCCGAGCGCGUAAUGAAAGUGAAAGUUGAGAUCCCUGUCGCGGGGAGCAUCGACGCCCGGACCAGAAAUUUAUGGACGGUUCCGCGGUAGAGCAUGUAUGUUGGGACCCGAAAGAUGGUGAACUAUGCCUGAAUAGGGUGAAGCCAGAGGAAACUCUGGUGGAGGCUCGUAGCGAUUCUGACGUGCAAAUCGAUCGUCAAAUUUGGGUAUAGGGGCGAAAGACUAAUCGAACCAUCUAGUAGCUGGUUCCUGCCGAAGUUUCCCUCAGGAUAGCAGAAACUCAUUUCAGAUUUAUGUGGUAAAGCGAAUGAUUAGAGGCCUUGGGGUUGAAACAACCUUAACCUAUUCUCAAACUUUAAAUAUGUAAGAACGAGCCGUCUCUUGAUUGGACCGCUCGGCGAUUGAGAGUUUCUAGUGGGCCUUUUGGUAGCAGACUGGCGAUGCGGGAUGAACCGAACAGGUUAAGGCCGGAAUUCCGCUUCAACCAAAGGUUAGUCAUAACCGACGGGCAUGGAAUCGAAUCGCUAGGAUGGUAACCCUGCCAAGACACCAAGGGCCUAACCCAACCC
rnacentral:rRNA from 1 species